UACGGAGGGUGCGAGCGUUGUCCGGAAUCACUGGGCGUAAAGGGCGCGUAGGCGGCUUGGGAAGUCCGUGGUGAAAGCCCGAGGCUCAACUUCGGGUCGGCCAUGGAUACUCCUAAGCUCGAGUCGACUAGAGGCUAAUGGAAUUCCGGGUGUAGCGGUGGAAUGCGUAGAGAUCCGGAAGAACACCGGUGGCGAAGGCGACUUACUGGACACAUAUUGACGCUGAGGUGCGAAAGCGUGGGGAGCAAACAGG
rnacentral:rRNA from 1 species